UUGGAGGGCAAGUCUGGUGCCAGCAGCCGCGGUAAUUCCAGCUCCAAUAGCGUAUAUUAAAGUUGUUGCAGUUAAAAAGCUCGUAGUUGAACUUCGGGGUCUACCCAUUGGUCAGGCUUAUUUGUCUGUACUGGUGAGAUGGAUCUCUACCUUCUGAGGUACUUUCAUGUCAUUUAUUUGGUGUGAUGGGAAAUCAGGACUGUUACUUUGAAAAAAUUAGAGUGUUUAAAGCAGACUAUCGUCUGAAUACAUUAGCAUGGAAUAAUGAAAUAGGACGGACUGAUUCUAUUUCGUUGGUUUCUAGGAUCACCGUAAUGAUUAAUAGGGAUAGUUGGGGGCAUUAGUAUUCAAUUGUCAGAGGUGAAAUUCUUGGAUUUAUUGAAGACUAACUACUGCGAAAGCAUUUGCCAAGGAUGUUUUCAUUAAUCAAGAACGAAAGUUAGGGGAUCGAAGACGAUCAGAUACCGUCGUAGUCUUAACCAUAAACUAUGCCGACUAGGGAUCGGACGAAGUUAAUUUUAUAAUGACGCGUUCGGCGCCUUACGGGAAAC
rnacentral:rRNA from 1 species